rnacentral:rRNA from 1 species
GAUGAACGCUAGCUACAGGCUUAACACAUGCAAGUCGAGGGGCAGCAUAAAUCUAGCAAUAGAUUUGAUGGCGACCGGCGCACGGGUGAGUAACACGUAUCCAACCUACCUAUUACUCGGGUAUUGCCUUUCAAAAGAAAGAUUAAUCCCCGAUACGAUAUUGAGUUCGCAUGAAUUUGAUAUGAAAGAUUUAUUGGUAUUAGAUGGGGAUGCGUUCCAUUAGUUUGUUGGUGAGGUAACGGCUCACCAAGUCUUCGAUGGAUAGGGGUUCUGAGAGGAAGGUCCCCCACACUGGAACUGAGACACGGUCCAGACUCCUACGGGAGGCAGCAGUGAGGAAUAUUGGUCAAUGGGCGAGAGCCUGAACCAGCCAAGUAGCGUGAGGGAUGACUGCCCUAUGGGUUGUAAACCUCUUUUAUAAGGGAAUAAAACGCUCCACGAGUGGAGCUUUGCAUGUACCUUUUGAAUAAGGAUCGGCUAACUCCGUGCCAGCAGCCGCAGUAA